UUUCCCUCUUUUCUUGGUUAAUCUCUUCAGAUUUGAUUUAUGUUUUUGUGGCUACUUUUGGUAGAUUACACAAGAUAUAUAUGUGUAUAACAUUUACUUCAAUCUUUUAGUUUGUCUUAGAAUUUUAUUUUUCUUGGAUCCAAAAUUCACUUAAAGGAGAACAUGAUUCUUAAUUACAGCGAAGAUUCGUAAAAAAAUUUUGGGUAUAAUUACAGUGAUUUGCAGGUGCAGCACUUUGUGAAUCCAAUGAGUAUUCGCUACUUUUGGAGCAGGCACUAAAAGUGGUACUGGUUGAAUUCUUUCAUUGCAGAAACGUUUUUAAGUGACUUAUUAUUGUUCCACUUUAAUACUCUAAAAAUUUGUACAACUAAUAUUUUGACAUCUAUUCAUAUAUUUAACAGUUUGAUACUUCGUAUUAUUGGGUUGACUGUCGUCGUUGGACAGGUAUUGCAAUUAUAGCAUAGCACUGAAUAUUUAUGAUCCUUUAUUGUCUCGCUCUCUCUCUCAAUCAUAUUUGAGAGGUUAAAACCAAAGGAGAAGAGGACAUACACUAGCAACACAUAUUCCGUUUUCCUCAGCAAGAGUUGUUUGAUCACCCAACUAAAUUGAUUGUAACUUUGCUAGAUACUUCACACUUCCCCUCAUUGGUAAAAUUUUCUUUUGACGCUUCAAAAGGUCAUUGGUAUCAUCCAACAUAAUAUCAAUAUGUUCUUCCAAUAGAGCUGAUGUGAGAUCCAGAGCCGGACUUGAUGGGAGGCCCAAGAGGCCUCGACCUCAGGCCCAGAAUUUUAGGGGGCCCAUUUUUUCACCUUUUUUUUUUUUUUUUUUUUUUUUUUAAAGACCCACUAUAUCCAUGCGUUCAAAAGAAAAGACCUCCAGACUCCAAGAAAUCAACGGCAAAACCUACAUGUUUAGUGGUGGUGGUCGGAACUAAUGUGGUGGCCGUCCUCAUCGAUUCACCGCCAACAAUCCGUCUCUCAAUUCACUGCUCCUUUUUGUUUAGGUUAUGUCUACAAUCUAAAUUUAUUUUUCUUCUUUCUUUCACUUUCUUGCAUAUAAUAUAGUAUUUAAGUUUUUUUUCCCCUUUCUCUUCCCUUUAUUUUGGGAUUUUGGGGUGUAAUUGUUGUUAUAAUGUUAUUGGCUAAUUUCUUCUUGCAGUUUUCAAAAUCUGAUGCUAUGCUCUAUUCUUCAACUUCAUCUAUAAAUUCUUCUUUUUUCACCGGUUUUGAAAAUUUGAAUUUUCUGAAGGCAUUUUUUAUUUUCCUAACUUUUAAUCAAAUAUUUGAAUGUAAUUUGGAGAAAAAAUAAUGGACUAUUUUGAUGGCAAAGCUCUACGGCAGAAGAAGAGUGUGAAAGGUUUUUAUUUCAUUUCAAAGGAACACCAAAAAAUUUAUUUUUUGUUUUAUUGUUGAUUUAAGUUAACAAAUUUAAUUCCGUAAACUUCUAAUUUUUUAUUUUAUUUUUUUUAAAAAGGCAUUGUUCGCUACGACUUAGGGCCUAGGGCCCAAAUUUCGAAGUUCGCCUCAGGCCCUGCGAAGCACAAGUGCGGCACUGGUGAGAUCACAGGGGGUUCUUUGGGAAACUUCCAACAAAUAUUAAAUGCAAGCCAACAAACCUAAUCGCAAGAAACCCCAACUAAGGAAUAGAACAUAUUUCUACUUUCUCAUGUGUUUCAAUAUUUCUCAAGUUGUAUAAAGGUUUUAUGAAUCUUUUAAUUGUAUGUUUCAUAAAUUAACAAGUGUAUGUAAAGAAUAAUACACGAUUUGUUGUCAACUUUUCUUCUUGUUCUUUCUAAUGUUAAUUUAUUUUAUGUUCGAACAUGUUUGUGGCUAUGCAUGUUGUUCUCCUUUAACGUCGAAAAGAAUCAUUUCCGUUUGAGAAGAGAACGGCGCAUAUCUUUGCAUGUCGUGCCAUUGGCAUUUGCAUCGUGUCUUAAUCUUUUUCUGUAUAAAGUACAAGAGGACGGCAGGUGCCCUAUUUUAUUUUUUCAGGAUCUCAACCAAGAUUUAUCUUUCAUAUGAAAAAAUAAGAUGAACAUGAUAACAUUUUGGAUAUGCUUGACACUAAGUUCUACGUCCUCAUGGCGUAGGGCAACUGUGUAAUCUUUCGGUAAAGGUGUUCCUUUUGCGUGUUUGAAGUAUGAUUGCUUCAAAUAAUAUCCAUUCUUCACCAAUUUUGUUAUUCUUUUGUAUUGAUUUGUGAGAUACCAUUGUAUAUUUUUCCUUCAAAAAUUCCAGAUGCUUCCCUGAUUCUUCUGUAUUAUUUGUUCAAUAUCCAACAUUGCUCGAGUUGCCUAGAUUGAGCUUCUUGAAAAGAACAAAUCUGUACGAGUGAAAGAGCUAGACGAGGUAAACUUUUUGCAUAAUUAAUUAACAUUUCUGUAUUCCUCUAAUCUAAUUAGUUCAUUCUAACAUAUGAUUUUUGGAAGUGCCGAGUCUCUUGAGAGUUAUUUUGCUCAUCUCAUCUACUGCUUUCAAAAGAUGACAUAUUUCACUAUUUUGAAAAGUAAAGGUUCAUUUCCUGUUUAUGGGCCUCAAUCUGUUGUUCAGGUUUGUUGCAAAGUCUUAUAUGGAUAUGCUUGAUCACUAAUAAUGCAGAUUUUUAAUUUCAUUUAGUUGUUUGGUAUUACAUGUUAUGCUUAUUUACAGUUGGUGUUCCUGUUUAACUUGCGGACUAUUAAUUGUUUUUUAAUGAUUCUCAGCACCAUGAUGCUGAUGCUUAUUUGCUUGUUGGCUUAUCUAUUAUCUAUAAUUCAAUGAAUAUCAAUUGUUAGGUUUAAGAACUUCUACGGAGGAAGCAUGCUAAAGAGGCAGUCGAGAAGGAACUUCAAGAGUUCGUGAAGUUACUAAAAUUUGGCAUGGAAAUGCCAUUGCAUUCAAAACUCCCAAAAUCUUCAUAAAAAUUGAGGAAGAAUCACAGUUGAAAAACUUACCAAGAAAAUUCUGAGGCUUUGGGAUCAUGUGAUUGAGCUCUUUUCCAUUCGUGAAGCACUAUCUAAUACUCCCCUACAACAUGCCAUCAUAGUUUCGGAAUCUGAGAGUUUGAAAUAUUCCUAUCAAUUUUAGCAGCUUAAAGACAAAUUGGAGAGACAUCCCUUAAUGAAACAAGCUAUAGAUCCCAUCAAAUCAUUAGAUUGGGGUCUUUUGAAAGGAUAAUUCGAGCAUUCUUCAAUGUGAGGGAGAAUCUGCAUGGAUGAUACCUUAAGAUUUUUGACAAGACUUCGGCCACCAAGUCCACUAGCAUAGUCCCCUCCAACGGCAUCUCAUGAUUCCUUUGUCUGUUCAAUUACUAUAUUAAUCUUGAUUACCAGUAUCAAUUUACCAAAAGCCGAAGCAAACCCAGAACUCUAAGAAUGAAAAUGGGCAGUCCCUAAAGAAGUCAUUGAGAUGAUUUAUGGCAGGCUGUGGACUGCAAAAGGCCGAGUCCUUAUGAGUUAAACUCUCAUCUAUAGGUAAAAAGCUGAUUUAACCUUCUUGUUUUUUCUUUGCCAAACAAAAGUAAGUAUGCAUAUUGCAUGGCCUCGGCUCUUCACAGAGUGUAGCAUAUUCUCCCGCAAGCCCUUUAUGUUGCAGCCCCCAUGGGACUUUUUUCAGCCCCCAUAGGACACGAAAACUGGAAAGAAGUUUAUCCUCUAUUUUACUUGUGGAUGUGACUAUAGCAUGAAGGUGAAAUUAUGUUUCUAUUUUGUACAUCAUUAUAAUAAGAAGUUCAUCUUAUGUUACUCUUAUGGACAUUUCAUUUUCAUUUUUUUGAAUUGCAAAGAAUUUCAUACUUCUUCUUUACCCCGUAAUGUGGACUAAUUUUGUUCAGAACUUGUCGGACAGUUGAUGUUCAAGUUGAACUAACAUAUGGAAAAUUUGGAAAAUGGUGAUUUGAUAAGAGAUCAUACCUUGAUGGACCCACCUCAAAAUCUUUUCUUACCCCCUUCUCGUGUUUCUAAGAGUGUUGUACGUGCUGCACCUUUAUAUUCUUCGUACAUUAUUCAAUUCGUUCGGUUCUACAUCUAUUUGUUUAUUAAUUAAAUCAUAUUUACUAGAUCUUUAAAUUGGGAGGUAUAUAAUAGGAAAUUUUCCUUAUUCUUCUUAAAGAAUGGGUGAACUUCUUAGCAUGAAAUGCGCAUAUACUUUUGCACUAAUUUCUUAAUGUCAUUUCAUUCUUCGGGAUGUACAAAUCCACCUUUUCCUCUUUGCUUAGGAAGUUUACGCCAUGUGUUCCAAUCUGGUGCCAAUAUGAUAUGUUUAAGGAUUAUAUUAGUACUUGAUAAUAAAAAUUCUAGACUUUAUUCUGCCGGAAUGUAAAAGAAUCCUUGGGAGGCUCGGAAGGAAAAAUGUUGCGUGUGUGAGAUGAGAAUUGAACGGUAAAAUUAAAGCAAAGCGACAAUGUUUUGCUCCUAA